rnacentral:rRNA from 1 species
GGGGAAAAAUUAAUAAAAAAAAAAUAAAAAAAAAAAUUUUAAAAUUUAAGGUGUAAUUGUAGUUAAAGUAUUUAUUUAGAAAAAAUUGAUAGUUUUAUAGUUAAUUAGUAUUGAUAAAGAAAUUAUGAAAUAAGUUGAAAAGGAAAUUAAUUAAAAGUAAUUUUUAUUUAAUGUAUCUUGUGUAUCAAAGUUUAUUAAAAAAGUUUUUUAGGUAAAUAUUUCUCGAAUUUAAAAGAGUUAAUUAAUUAUGAAAGUUAUUGUGGAAAAAAUAUUUUUAAUAAUUAAUUUGAAAUGAAAUGUUAAUCGUUUUUAAAUAUAUCUAGUUUUUUUAGAAAAAAAUUUAAUUUUAAAUUUAAUUAUUUUUUAUUUUUUUUUUAGAAAAAAAAAUAAAAAAUUAAAUUUAAUAAUUUAAGGGAUAAGCUUUAAAUUAAAUUAUUAUAAAUAAUAUUAAAUAAGAAAAAAUUUUUAGAAUUUAUAUUGUUCAUAAAUUUUAAUUUAUUAUAAAAAAUUUUUAGAAAAUAAAAAUUUAAAAUUUAUUUUAAUUUUAUAUAAAAAAAUAUUUUUUAAUAGUAAAAAUUUAGUUAUUAUGAUAAAAUUAGUAUAAAUUUAAAUAAUAAGUUAUUAUUUAAAAUUUAAUAAGUUAUUUUAAAGGAAUUCGGCAAAAUUUUAUAUUCACUUGUUUAUCAAAAACAUGUCUUUUUGGAAAUAAUUUAAAGUCUAAUCUGCCCACUGAUAAAAUAUUAAAGGGCUGCAGUAUAUUGACUGUACAAAGGUAGCAUAAUCAUUAGUCUCUUAAUUGGUGACUUGUAUGAAAGAUUGGAUGAAAUAUAAACUGUCUUUAAAAUAUAAUUUUGAAUUUAAUUUUUUAGUUAAAAAGCUAAAAUAAAAUAAAAAGACGAGAAGACCCUAUAGAGUUUUAUAAUUUAAUUAAUUAAUAAUUAUUUUUUUUUUAUAAUAAAUUAAAAUUAAUUAAAUUAUUUUAUUGGGGGGAUAGAAAAAUAAAAAUAACUUUUUUUAAAAUUAAACAUAUAUAAGUGAAUUUUAGAAUUAAAAUUUUUAAUUAUAAGAAAAAAUUACCUUAGGGAUAACAGCGUUAUUUUUUUUUUUAGUUCAUAUAAAAAAAAAAGUUUGCGACCUCGAUGUUGGAUUAAGAUAAAAUUUAAAUGCAAAAGUUUAAAAUUUUGAUCUGUUCGAUCAUUAAAAUCUUACAUGAUCUGAGUUCAAACCGGGGUAAGCCAGGUUGGUUUCUAUCUUUUAUAAAAUAAAAUAUUUUAGUACAAAAGGAUCAAAUAUUUAAAAUAAUUUUAAAAAAUUGAAUAUUAUUAAAUAAUAAAUAAAAUAUAUUUAAAUAUUAAUUAUUAAUUAAAAUUAAUUUUAAU